GUCGCAUGCUUCCGGCCGCCAUGGCGGCCGCGGGAAUUCGAUUAGAGUUUGAUCAUGGCUCAGAACGAACGCUGGCGGGAGGCCUAACACAUGCAAGUCGAACGUCCCGCAAGGGGAGUGGCAGACGGGUGAGUAACACGUGGGAACGUACCCUUUGGUUCGGAACAACCCAGGGAAACUUGGGCUAAUACCGAAUAAGCCCUUACGGGGAAAGAUUUAUCGCCGAAGGAUCGGCCCGCGUCUGAUUAGCUAGUUGGUGAGGUAACGGCUCACCAAGGCGACGAUCAGUAGCUGGUCUGAGAGGAUGAUCAGCCUCACUGGGACUGAGACACGGCCCAGACUCCUACGGGAGGCAGCAGUGGGGAAUAUUGGACAAUGGGCGCAAGCCUGAUCCAGCCAUGCCGCGUGGGUGAUGAAGGCCCUAGGGUUGUAAAGCCCUUUCGGCGGGGAAGAUAAUGACGGUACCCGCAGAAGAAGCCCCGGCUAACUUCGUGCCAGCAGCCGCGGUAAAUCACUAGUGAAUUCGCGGCCGCCUGCAGGUCGACCAUAUGGGAGAGCUCCCAA
rnacentral:rRNA from 1 species